UACGAAGGGGGCUAGCGUUGCUCGGAAUCACUGGGCGUAAAGCGCACGUAGGCGGAUAUUUAAGUCGGUGGUGAAAUCCUGGAGCUCAACUCCAGAACUGCCUCCGAUACUGAAUGUCUCCGAGUCCGGGAGAGGUGAGUGGAACUGCGAGUGUAGAGGUGAAAUUCGUAGAUAUUCGCAAGAACACCAGUGGCGAAGGCGGCUCACUGGCCCGGUACUGACGCUGAUGCGCGAAAGCGUGGGGAGCAAACAGG
rnacentral:rRNA from 1 species